GAGGCCGGGCCUCCGCAGCUACCUGGAGGCCGGGUCCUAGGGGGACCCGGGCGCUCAACUUCUCCCAGAGACCCGACUUCCUCCUCGGCCGACGGGGCCUGGGACGCCUUCGCUGAGACCGGGAGGGGCCGCGCUGGACACCCCGCGGGUGCCCAACUGCGAGGGCGGACGGAGCCCCUCCUCUUGGCCCGCGAGUUCUAGGCCCCUCUCAGACACUCCAUCAUUCACAUUUUUAAUCUAUAAAAUCGGUCCACGAACCAGUCUUUCCUAAACCCUUUGCAAGCUGCGAGGCCCAAUACUAAUGCAAGCCAGCGUUGCGUUGCUGCCGGCGUGCGGCUUUGCGGGAGAGCCCCAGGAUCUCCCCAGAGCCCUGCACGCUACAUCUUGUAACUAUGUCAUAUAAGCCCUCGGGGCUCCCCAACUCGUGGGCGCCCUGCUUUCCAUUCUCUGAGCCUCGGCUUUCUUCUGGAAAUGAGCGUAUGAAGGCCUGCCUGGCAAAGACUAGUGGAGGGGAAGGAGGCGGGGGAGGAAUCUACGCGGAUUGAGCCGCACUGUGUGCCGGCCUGGCAGCCACCCUCUCCCGCCCUUCCCCACAGAACAGCCUUCUUGUGCCCUGUCUCUGGGGGGCAGAGCCCACCCUGCUCUGAGCCCCAGCCCCGUGUCAGAGGCUCCUGUGCGGGCCCAGCCCUGAGCUCCAAUGCCCCUCCGGAGUGCGUGGCUCUUUCAGCCUUGGCUCGGUCCACCUUGUUCCUCUGGAGCUCCCAGCACGCCUGUCCCGGCUGGGUCCCUCGCCGCCCCCAGGUGCUGGAGGCCGGGUGGGAUGUGGAGGGAGGGAGGGAGGCAGGCAUGGCAGUGCAGGCAGCUGCAGGACAGUGUGUCCCCGACCUGACCCUAACCUUCUCCCAGACCUAGCUGCUUUUUCACCCUUUUCAGUGACGCCCCAGACUUCUAUAUUCUCUCACAGUACCCACUGAUGCUCCCAUCAAGGCCCCAGAUGGACAUGGACACCAAGUACACACAUGGCCCCUUUAAUCUUCCACCUGCCCUGGGAGGUGUGAGGGGGCCAGCUUACCAGGACGCUGGGUCCCAGAGCUGCUGCCCAGUAGUUGUGUGGCCUCAGGCAAGUGACUCAACCUCUUGAGUGUCAGCAUCCCCCUCUGUGAAACGGAGGCUGUAAUGCUGUUAGCACACAGCUGGGCAUCUGAUCAAGGCCAUGUGAGCCUAAUCUUUUUUCCCUCCCAGGUGAAGAAACUGAAGGUCAGAGGUCGAGCAGCCCUAGGUCACUGGUGGAGCAAGUUAGGACUGAAGUCAGGUUGGCUAGAGGCAUGCGGGAGGCCUAAGAGAAGUCCCUUCACAUUCUCUCAUCAUGAAGCACCUAUUGUGUGCCACGCCCUGUUCCAGGACAGGGUAUGUAUGGCCUUGAGCAAGACAGGCAGCUGGCUCUGUGAGCGACACGGGUAAAAUGAAGGCGGGGUGGAGCCAGCCCUGGGAAGGGUGCUCUCACCCCCACUGACAGGAGACACUGAGGCACAGGCGGUGAGAGGCACAGCCAGGACUGUGCCACGCCAGGUGGCCAUGAGCAGAGCAACUGGGGAGAUGGCACUGCCACUAAGCAGAUGUUGCUGCCCAGCCCCCACAAGGUGGUAAGGCAGGUACCCAGUGGGCGCUGGAACUCAGUGCCUCCCUUGCUGCGUCUGCCGUCUUGCUCCAGGCUCGGGACCUGUUGUCUCCCUGCUGCUGCGUGCCUGGCUGCCGUGGGAGGGUGAGUUUUGUAAGUGAAACAGAAGGCCGCAGAAAAUGCAAGUCACCCUGAGGGAUUUAUCAGAAGGAGUGAGCUUCCGGUAAACCCUGGUCCAGACCCUGCUCCUCACCCUGGGCACACCCAUGCCAUCUAGGGAGGAACGGAGGCCUGGGGCAGCUGGGUGCUUUGAACAAAAACCCUGGUCCAGGGCCCCCUGGGUGACUUAACUGCUCACUUGGCCUUCGUGUCCUCAUCUGUUCACUGAGGGAUUUGGACUUGAUUCUUCAGGGCUCUGCCCAUCUGAAGGAUUGGAGGUCAAGGAUUUGGGGACUGCCCUGGGAAGCCAGGGAAGCUCAUCCUGACCACAGCUCCUGCAUCCUGUCAGCUCAGAGCUCAGACCGCCAGGCCUGUUUGGCCAUCCCUCCCGCACAGAGAAGCUGUCACAUCCAGAGAGUAUCAGAGCUGGGUCUUGAACCCAGCUCUGCUUGACUCAAAGUGUACUCACUACCAUCCACCAUGGGGGGCAGCAGAUGUGGCGGACACCUUGGGCAGGUAGCUUCCUGCCUUGGCCUCUGUGGCCUUCUCAUGAGAUGGUGUAACAGUACUGAAGGCCGUGAGCCUGGAGAGUCCUUAGGGCAGGGUCUGGGCACAGAGCCCCAAUACAGUAGUGUUAUUGUCACUCCACCCAGGUCUCUGCUGCCUCACACAAUUGUUCAUGAGCAGAGUUUGAAACGUUGGCACUAUUCACAUAAAACAUAGCCACCCAGGCAGACACCGCCCUCAGGAGGCAGCUUUCAGGUCUGCUUGAGGUGGCUGCUCACUGUACUGGGUACCACAGGCCAGGAAGUUUGGCCCAAACCCCCUGCCUGGAGGGGCGAGGGAGGGGGAGACAUGGGAAAAUGACCCUGGGAGCCAGAGUUCUCUGGAGGGAAGCUGAGUAGGGGAAGAAGAGAGGGACAGAGGGACUGACCCCUGCCUGGUCACAUCAGGAGGGGUGCGAUGGUUAAGGUUGUGUGUCAAUUUGGCUGGACCAUGACUCUCAGUCAUUUGGCAGUUAUGAUGUAGUCUGGUAGUUAUGUAAUGAUGUAAUCAUCUCCAUGAUGAGACCUGACAUAAUGUAAUCAUCUCCAUGAUGAGAUCUGCUACUAGCAACCCAUCAGCUGAAAGGAAGUUUCCUUGUGGACUUUCUGACAAAGCUUGCUGGGUUUUUGCUCUUCUCUGGAUCCUGCAUGUGGCAUGUCAUCAUCUGACCUCCAGUUCUUAGGACUUUAGCCACCAGCCUGCUGUCUUACAUGCCAGUCUUGGGUUCAACAGCCUCUGCAGCUAUGUAGCUACAUGAGUCAGGAGAAGCCUCCGGCCUGAUGCCUGACUCACAGACUUGGAAUUUUCCAGCCUCUACGACCACAUGAGCCAUUUCCUUGUUAUACCUCUCUCUCUCUAUAUGUAUAUAUACAUGCUUCACUGGUUUUGCUUCUCUAGAGGACCCAUCCUAAGACCCGGGGUUUGAUAGGAAUGUGCACAGGCCCUGGGCACAUUUCUGAGCCGACCCAAGGGCCACAGGGCUUCGGCUCCCAUCUGGGGCAUGUUAUCCCCUUUGAGCUUCCAGGCAGCUCUGUGACUCAAAGUUCAUUGUUCCCACUUUUCAGAAUAUGAAAGUCAAGAAAGGAUUGUAGUAUAACAAUUAGAAAUUUAGAUUCUGGGUUCCUAAGCCUGCUCUGUCACUAGUUGGCAGUGGCCCUGGGCAAGUCAAUUCUCUUUUCUGAGCCUGUUUCCUCAGCUGUGCAAUGGGCAGAGACAGGCCCCUUCCCCCCACCCUCUACCCAGGGUAUAAAGGUUUGGGGAGGGCUGGAUAAGGCUCCCACCUGCCCCCUGAUGCCUGGUGUUCCCAAUCAGAUUCCUUAUUUGCAUCCUCCUUUGCCUGUGGAACCCCUGUUUUCCAGCUCAGGGCUGGUUACCAGUCAGGCAGGCCUGAUUCAGCAAAACGUUUUCAAGCAACUGCCCAUGCCUGUCUUGGCUCACCUGGCUCACCUGGCUUAGCUGGCUUCAGGAUCUUUCUGGGUCUAGAGUCCUGUGCAACGCCCAGAGAGUGCCUCUGUGUGCACAAACCCCUAGAGCUGUGUCUGCAUGCAUGCAUGUCCCUGGGAGGCAUGGUGGAGGCAGGGGCGUGGACCAUGAAUGAGAGCAGGCCCGUGGCUUUCCCACGGGCCAGAGAACCUCCUCUACACGGCUCUCCCCCCGUGAUAAAGGGACUGUGUAAUUGUUGGAGGGCCAGCCCUGUGUCAAGUUCUCACUUACUAGCUGUGUGACUUUGGACGCCUUUCCUUGUUUGUUAAACGGUGUUGUGAAGAGGACAGAACCCGCCGCGGGAAGCCCUGAGACCUGAUGUAGGAGAGUGAAGGGGUCUUAAUUUUGGCCCUUCAAUCACAGCCUGUCCCCCAGCCUUGAUCCCCAGGUCAAGGACACAAAGGGGCCUUGUCACCCGAGCAGACCUCAGAGGUGACAUCUUACAACAGCCUCUGCUGCAUGACCCCUGCCCAGGGAACGGGGCAGUCUCUUGGGGCCUGUGGCUGCACAGCCCAGAUGAGCCAGAGAUGAGGGGUGGCUGGGCCCAAGCAGCCAUUCCAGGUAAGGGUCUUGUGGGUGUGUGCUAAGAGCACCAACUUCCUGAACGCCAAGGCGAUGUUUUGGCAUUUUCUCAUGAACGGGAAUCUUCAAAGGUGGCCAUGGCCUUUCUCCACCUGAGAGGCAGGCAGAGAGGUUAUCUCCACUCUACAGAGGGAGAAUCCAAGGUUGGAAAGUGGGUGUGACAUGCCCAAGUUGGCCCAGGCUGCAAGAGGCUGUCCUGUGCCCUGGCUGCCUCCUGAGAAGGCUGGCAUGCGGGCCAAGCAGCCUGCCAGCAUGUGUCAACAGGACGAUGAGGAGGAGGAUGGCGGGCUGGGGGGCUGGUGGUCAGCCCUUGGGCAACAGGAACUUGAAACAGCAGGGCGGUCUCUCCAGACUGAGCCAGCGCCUUUCCCUGUGGGUGGCCUAAUCACUCACUGCCCACCUCAUGGAGACAUUCCAUGCCCAGCAGGUGGGCCCAGGAAUCUGCAUUUUUGUCAGGCUCUGUCUGCUUGGCAUUUCCCAGGGAACAAACUCCUACCAGGCAAGUUCACUGAUCCUCCCCAUUUCGAGGAAGGAAAGAGGAAGGCAGGCCAGGCCUGAGAAGGUGCUGUGUAAUCAUCCUCAUUUUAAAGACAGAACAGCAGAGGCCUUGAGUGGAGAGGGACUUUCCAGGGUUGUGCAGUGCUGAGUGGAAAGCAAGAGGCAGAGUGAAUGGGUCUUAAUUUUGGCCCCUCAGUCACACUGGAGAUGAGUCACAUGAGGUGGGCACUCAAGCAGUUGAAUAUGCCUUGCCUCACAGCUGUCCCCAGAGAGAAGUGACUUGCUCAAGGUCACAUGGAAGACUCAACUGGCCUCAGAAGACCACUAAACCCCAGAACAAACUGGAAAUCCACCACAGGAGAGGGAGGCCUGAAUGAAUUAUAGCCUUCUGUGUUGUGGGAUGUUAACCUGCUAAAAGAGGCAGGCAACUGGCUGAGGGGUGCACUGGGUAUCACAGAGAGAGGACAGUCAGAGGCUUCCUGUUAAGAGCCCUGGCCCACAGGAUUGUCCCUGCUGUUGGUGUGUCAGCCUUUCCCCUGGGCCUGGCUCUCUGAGGGCCAGGUUGGGUCUGAUGGCACUUGGCAACUAUGGGCUUCUAUGCCCAGUAAAGCCCUUGUCAACAGUGGCCACAACAAAAGAGGCAGGGGUAGUAGUCAUACCCCACAAACUGUUCUCUCCUUCUUCCAUGGUCAUAGACUCCUGAUUUUUAGCUUUGCAAAUGGACUCCCAGGAUAAAAGCUGCAUUUCCCGGUCUCCCCUGCAACUAGGUAUACCCAUGUGACUACAGUUUGGCCAAUGGAUGGCUGUGCGUGUGUGACAUAAGGGAAGAAACCCGAAACUGAAGGGAUGUACCAUUCUUCAUUACUUCUUCCUUCCUGCUGGAUAGAUUAUGGAUGUAAUAGCUGGAGCUCCAGCAGCCAAAUUGGACCAUGAGGAGAUCUUGGGCAUAGAAGCUUUGCACGGCAGAGCAAAAGACAGAAGGAGCCUGUGCCCCCAAUAUUUCUCGACUGCCCACCUCCGGACUUUUUAACUGAGGUAGAAGCUCCACAAGAAAUGAGUAGAAGCAUACAAGUCUUCUUAAGCUCUAGGCACAAAACUGAUCAUUGACACUGCUGCCCACACGUUCCAUUGCACACAGCAAGUCACUUGGCUGAGCCCAACGUCAAGAGCGAACUUCACCUGCAGCGGAAGGGAAGGGGUAGGCCUGUCCAUGUGACUAAGGUCUGACCAAGAAGAUGUGAGCAGAAAUGAUAUCUACAACUUCUGGGUCCAGCUCUUAAAUGAAAGGGGUGUACCCUCAUUUCCCACUCCCUGCUCUUGCUGGCCAGAACGAAGAUGUAAUGGCAGGACAGAGGCAGCCACCUUGGACAACAACAUGGGAACUGCAUGUCGAAGAGGCAGAGCAUCAAGGUAGAAGGCGCCUGGGUUCAGAUAACUUCAUGGGGGAGAGCACCAGGCUAGCUCAGACUGUAUGUGGGUAAGGAAUGACGUCUCUAUUGUUUUAAGUCCUGCCAUUGUGGGAUCUUCGUCAGAGCAUUCAAGCUGAUAUUCUAGUACACCACCUCAACACAACUGGACCUUUGUUAGUAAGAAAGAAGGGAGAGUGGCUUAGGGAGGCAUUAAUGCAGGAAAACCAUCCUCCUAGCUCCCUGCUCAGUCAAGUCGGUGAAAUAUGCCAUUCUUCAGCUCCAGUGGCUACCUUGUUCAUCAGAUGUCACUCCUUCUCUUCUCCAGACAAAACCUUCUCACCAUCUUCAACCUUUCCUUUUGCACAGUUUUGAGUCCCUUUUCAUCACAAUUCCUUGUCUUGGGUCUCCCUCUAAUGGAUUCGAGCCUCCCUAAAAUAGUGGGCCCCCUGGGAUGGGGCAGGCCUGGAGUAGAAUGAGACGUAAUGUGGUUGUUAAACGUCAACUGCCACUAACAAGAGAGAGGCACAGAUCUUGGAGGCUCUGACUGAUGUGUUUUGACAACUGCACGGACUAUCAGGAAUACCAAGAUUUAGAACAUUGCUAUCCCCUGGAAAAUUCCCUCAUGUCCCUUUCCAGUCAAUCCUCACCUCCACUAGAGAGGCUACCAUUGUUCUGAUUUUUUUUCAAAAUAGACUGAUUUUUCUUGUUCUAGAAUUGCAAAUAAAUGAGUCAUUUAUUAUGUACUCUUUUGUGUCUGGCUCCUUUCACUCAACAAAGUGUUCUGGAGACCCACCUCUGUUGUUGCAAGCAUCUUUUUCAUAGCCAAGGCUGUUCCACUGUACAGGUGCACUGCAUUUUGUUCUGCUUUUCACCUGGUAAGACACAUUUGUGUGUACUCCAGUUUGGGGCUGUUAUAAAUAAAGCUACUCUUAAUAUUUGUGUGAGUGCUUCUGUGAAUAGGUGUUUACAUUUCUCUUGGGUAAAUAGAGUGGAAUUUUUGGGUUGCACAGUAAAUGUGUAUGUAGUUUUAUAAGAAACAGGCAGGUCUUUUUCCAAAGUAGCUGACCCUGUAUACCAGCAAUGUAUGGGUUCCAGCUGCCCCCGUCCUCCCUCUCCAGCACUGAGGAGUCUUCUUCAUUUUCUCCAUUACAAACAGUUUGGAGUGGCAUCUCAUUGAGGUUUAAUUAGCACUUUCCGGGUAACUAUGUUGAGUAUGUUCUCGUCUGCUCCUUAGCCAUUUGUAGCUCUGCUUUUCUGAAGUGCCUGUUUGAGUAGUUGGCUCAUCUCUUCUUAGCAUUGGUUUUUUUUUUGAAGUUCUUUAUAUAUUAUGUAUACAUGUCCCUUAUACAUGUCCCUUUGCAGAUAUACCAAUCCAAAAAUCAAACCCAUUGCUGUUGAGUUGAUUCCGACUCAUAGCAAUCCUAUAGGACAGAGUAGAACUGCUCCCAUAGGGUUUCCAAAGAGUGACUGGUGGAUUCGAACUGUCAACCUUUUGGUUAAUAGCCAAGUUCUUAACCAUUAUGCCACCAGGGCUCCUUUCAGAUAUAACCCAAAAACCCGUUGCUGUCAAGUCGAUUCCAACUCACAGAGACUCUAUAGCACAGAGUAGAGCUGCCCCACAGGGUUUCCAUGGAGCACCUGGUGGAUUCAAACUAACAGCCUUUUUGGUUAGUAGCCAAACUCUUAACCAGUAUGCCACCAGGGUUUCCCUUUUAGAUAUAAGUAUUGUAAAUAUUUUUUCCAAGUCUAUGUCUUGCCUAUUAUCUUCUUAAUGGUGUUUUUUGAUGAGCAGAGUUUUAAAUUCUAUGAAAUGCAAUUUAUCAGAUUUUAACGGUUACUUCUCUUGAUGUUUUGUGCAAAGGUCUCUUUGUACCCAAGGCUACUGUGCCAGCUAGUGAUUUAUUGGGCCUCAAUUCCGGGUUCAUCCUCAGCCUGGCUCUGUGACGAGGGCCAACUUCCUCUAAGCAUCGCUCCUUCGCAGUGAGUGCAAUGUCAAACUUUCUCAGCAGAGGGCUCUGGAAGGACAUUGCAGGAGGAAAGACCUCAGCUUUUUGGGUUGGUGCACAGGGCCUCAAUGGGGUGGGGACAGCUGUACCCAGUGAUGAGCCUGGAAUGUGCUGCCCUGUGGACGCUGACCUGACGGUCUUCCCCAUACUCCGCUCUCUGAGGGCCUGCGUGCUGAGCCCAUCUGCGUGUUGCGCGGGCUACCUGGCGCCUAGCAAUUGCAGACAGUUCUGGCCGGUAGGACAGCACGCCACUCUGAUGUCCAGUGGGCUGCAUGCAACCGGCCUUCCCCGAAGAGGCCUCACCUCCCCAUCCCCGCACCCUGUGUCAUUCUUGUCAGUGUUUGUUCAUUUUUAUAUUAAACUUCUCCUGGUUAAGUCACUGUGUGACUUCUGUCUCUUGAUUGGACACACACUGGUACAGUCACAAAGAUAUUCUGCAUUGUCUUCCAGAAGCUUUAUGGUUCUGGGUUUUAUGUGCAGUGUAGAUUUGAUGGUGAAUGCAGAGGCAACGAUGAUGGAGAUUACUUACUUGAUGCCUGCUGGGUGUCCAGGCCAGGGGGUGAGGCUCAGGGAGGGAACGUGGGCGGGGACCUGAAUCCUCCAAAGCCUGCAGGUGCGGCUUAGGGUUUAGAAUGAAAACAAGCACACCUGGCCUGAAACUUUUGCUUUGUACUCCUGCAACCCAUCUCUCUCAUACACACACACAACUCCAAACUCCACAAUAGGCCAUAAGCCUAUUUUCACAAGUAUUUACAGUGGAAGAGCACCAGGUUUGGACUCAGAUCCUGGGCUCUGAAGCCGCCACCAGUGAGGGGGCAUGAUCUUCACUGCCCCAGAGCUCCAGUAAAGCUCACCCUAAAAGGAAUCAGAGGAAGAUCUAAUUCAACUGAAAAAGGUUUCUGUCAGAGGAGCACGUAGCAGACACGUGUUAUUAGGGGCAAGCCCUCCACCCAGGACA